CUAAGCCAUGCGAGUCGAGAGGUGUAAGACCUCGGCGUACUGCUCAGUAACACGUGGACAAUCUGCCCUGAAGUGGAGGAUAAUCCCGGGAAACUGGGGGUAAUACUCCAUAGUUCAUGCUGACUGGAAUGUUAUGUGAACGAAAGAUCCGUCGCUUCAGGAUGAGUCUGCGGCCGAUUAGGUAGUUGUUGGGGUAACGGCCCAACAAGCCUGUCAUCGGUACGGGUUGUGGGAGCAAGAGCCCGGAGAUGGAUUCUGAGACACGAAUCCAGGCCCUACGGGGCGCAGCAGGCGCGAAAACUUUACCAUGCGGGCAACCGUGAUAAGGAAACCCCGAGUGCCAGCACAGGCUGGCUGUCCGCCAGUGUAAAUAACUGGUGAAGAAAGGGCCGGGCAAGACCGGUGCCAGCCGCCGCGGUAAUACCGGCGGCUCGAGUGGUGGCCACUAUUACUGGGCUUAAAGGGUCCGUAGCUUGAUAUGCAAGUCUCUUGAGAAAUCCGCCAGCUUAACUGGUGGGCGUUCAGGGGAAACUGCAUUUCUAGGGACCGGGAGAGGUGAGAGGUACUGCCGGGGUAGGAGUGAAAUCCUGUAAUCCCGGUGGGACCACCUAUGGCGAAGGCAUCUCACCAGAACGGGUCCGACAGUGAGGGACGAAAGCUGGGGGAGCAAACCGGAUUAGAUACCCGGGUAGUCCCAGCUGUAAACGAUGCGCGUUAGGUGUGUCAGUGACCACGUGUCACUGAGGUGCCGAAGGGAAACCGUGAAACGCGCCGCCUGGGGAGUACGGUCGCAAGGCUGAAACUUAAAGGAAUUGGCGGGGGAGCACCACAACGGGUGGAGCCUGCGGUUUAAUCGGACUCAACGCCGGGAAUCUCACCGGAUAAGACAGCUGAAUGAUAGUCGGGAUGAAGACUCUACAUGACUAGCUGAGAGGAGUGCAUGGCC
rnacentral:rRNA from 1 species